GCCGAGGUAGCUCAGCGGCAGAGCAGCUGAUUUGUAAUCAGCGGGUCGNGGGUUCGAAUCCCUNCCUCGGCUCCA
rnacentral:tRNA from 1 species